rnacentral:rRNA from 1 species
AUUGAACGCUGGCGGCAGGCCUAACACAUGCAAGUCGAACGGUAACAGGAAGAAGCUUGCUUCUUUGCUGACGAGUGGCGGACGGGUGAGUAAUGUCUGGGAAACUGCCUGAUGGAGGGGGAUAACUACUGGAAACGGUAGCUAAUACCGCAUAACGUCGCAAGACCAAAGAGGGGGACCUUCGGGCCUCUUGCCAUCGGAUGUGCCCAGAUGGGAUUAGCUAGUAGGUGGGGUAACGGCUCACCUAGGCGACGAUCCCUAGCUGGUCUGAGAGGGUGACCAGCCACACGGGAACUGAGACACGGUCCAGACUCCUACGGGAGGCAGCAGUGGGGAAUAUUGCACAAUGGGCGAAAGCCUGAUGCAGCCAUGCCGCGUGUAUGAAGAAGGCCUUCGGGUUGUAAAGUACUUUCAGCGGGGAGGAAGGGAGUAAAGUUAAUACCUGUGCUCAUUGACGUUACCCGCAGAAGAAGCACCGGCUAACUCCGUG